rnacentral:rRNA from 1 species
GACCUCAGAUCAGGCAAGGCUAC